AGAAUUCAGUAAUCCUCAUUCACUGAAGAAUUAUAAAAACAACUUUUACAUCACAGUGAGUGUGGGUUUUGUUUUUGUUUCUGAAAAACAGGUCUCACUAUGUUAUCUGGGUUGGCCUCGAACUCUUGGAUUCAAGGCAUCGCCCUGCCUCAGCCUCUCAAAUGCUAGGACUACAGGCACAUUCCACUAAGCCUGGCUAGGUAUGGGGUUUUUGAGGGAAGUUUUGUUUGCCAGUUAAUUUCCUCUCAUUUUGCAGGGAGACAGUUUUUCCUGAGACCAGGCUCUUUCUUAGCUGACUCUGUUCCACGAGGCACUAUCAGCCAACGUUUGUUUGGCGAGCUUUUGCUCUGCAUCUCUUUUUCUUUCCAAUCCUUCAGGUCUUUGUCCUAUAAAUUCGUAGAAAAGCUGUUGGCAAGUGGUCAGCAACAGGACCUCUAAAAAACAGUACCAUCACCUCUGCCCCACUCCUCCCAGCUCCACCCCCAGGCAGUUAAUGGAAGAAAGGAAUAACUGUGUCACUCUUGGCUUCUCCUUGCUCAUCUUGCUCUUAAAUUGGAGGCCUCUGGGGCUGCAAGAAACUGGACAAAGUGUGCUGAGUAGUCUAAUAGGACUGGUUCCUUUUUUGAAAGUCCUCUAUUGCGGAAAAAUAAAAUUAUGUGUUUAAUUUCUGAAACCUAAUGCCUGAUUUGCCUUGGCAGCCCUUUUCUUGGGCUUGGCUGAGAGUCCGGCAACAUUAGUAUACUGAUUAAUACCAGCUCAACUUGUUCCCUGGAGAAGAGCAUUAUUUACUGGAUUGUUUUCUUAAAUCCUUUUUAAUUUGCUGUGUUUUAGCAUACUCUGACUGGCUUUAACAUGUUGUUAUCUCUGACCACGGGCCAUAAUGAAGCUGGAGGAAAGACUCCCAUCUCUGUGUGCUCAUAUCCUCAUCACAAAGCAAGAUUUUGUUCAACCCAGUGAUUAGAAAUGACACAUCACAUGUUCUAAUCUUUCUGGGAUGUCCGAGUUCUAAGUGUACUUUCAUCCUCUGCUGGUCCUCAGG
rnacentral:lncRNA from 1 species